rnacentral:rRNA from 1 species
GAUGAACGCUAGCGACAGGCUUAACACAUGCAAGUCGAGGGGCAGCAUAAAAGUAGCAAUACUUUGGUGGCGACCGGCGCACGGGUGAGUAACGCGUAUGCAACCUACCUAUCAGAGGGGAAUAACCCGGCGAAAGUCGGACUAAUACCGCAUAAAACAGGGGCACCGCAUGGUGAUAUUUGUUAAAGAGAUUCGCUGAUAGAUGGGCAUGCGUUCCAUUAGGUAGUUGGUGAGGUAACGGCUCACCAAGCCGACGAUGGAUAGGGGAACUGGUAGGUUGGUCCCCCACACUGGUACUGAGACACGGACCAGACUCCUACGGGAGGCAGCAGUGAGGAAUAUUGGUCAAUGGGCGGGAGCCUGAACCAGCCAAGUCGCGUGAAGGAAGAAGGAUCUAUGGUUCGUAAACUUCUUUUGCAGGGGAAUAAAGUGCAGGACGUGUCCUGUUUUGUAUGUACCCUGAGAAUAAGGAUCGGCUAACUCCGUGCCAGCAGCCGCCGUAAUAC